CUGAAACUAACUUGUUAGAACUGAGGUUUCCUAGCCUUAGCUGCACUACUCACUUCUAAGGAGACAAGACUGUGGUGAUGUCUAGGGUUGGAGAAGGCAGAGAGGAAAGCAGGAACGGGAUGGCUGCUUUCUUCAGUAACUCUUUGUCCUCUCGGCGAUACCUCAGGGAAGACUGUGAAAAAAGAGAGGGGUCUGAAAAACCACAGAAGCUGAUGAUACCUGAAGAGGAGCAAGGGGGCCAAGCAGCAGUCCACCAACAACAGCAAGAGCAGUUUGUCAGCCCAUAUGUCUUGAUAACUCCUAAUGAAGCAAGAAGAAACCAGUUGCAGCAAAUUGCUAAGAAAGAGCUAGAUGACCUGGAGAGGUGGAAGGAAGAACACAAGCCAGGGCCAAUUAAGUUGACUCCACAGAGACUGGGUGGAAAGGAAUCAGAGGCUCAAGUAAGGCAAAAACAACAGAUGAUGCUCAUGCGAUCUAAGUACCAGCAAAAGUACAAGAGAGAAGAAUACAUAAGAACAAAAAAGGCAGCUGAAGAAGCUGAAAUCAUGAAAAAGAAAGCAAUUCAAAGAGAAAAGGCAGAGAGGCUUGAAGCUAAGAAAAGACAAGAAGAAAUGCAGAGUGGAGAGAUGUACUUUGAAGAUCAAUAUUACAAAACCAAUGAAUUAUUGAACAGAUUGGACUUGGGUUUGCCAAAGAGUGAUUCCUGUCAGAUUGCGAAUCAUGGCCCAGAAGCUACAGCAUGGACUAGAAGCCAUACUUACAGGAAAGCUCUUCGAGAGGAUGAAAACAGAAGAUUAGAGGAAAUGAAGCAAGAACAACGAAGGAAGGCUGAGUUGAUGGAGUUUAAGCAAAAGCGGAGAGAGGAAGCCCGAACAAGAGAACACCAAAAUGAACAGAGGAGGGUAAAUAAUGCUUUUCUGGACCGACUACUGGACAAAACGCAAGCUAAUAGCCUCUACCAACUUGAAUGAAGUAGGAGUCGGGACGGACUCCUUCAGUAACAGCUGCCGGGACACCACCAAAUGCGUGUGCUGGACACAGACACAGUUUCAAUAACAGAUAGCUCUAUGCUGAACACAAUCAAUCUGUCUUUUUUAAACUAUGGGAAGACAAAUUAAUAAACUUCCACUUCUGUCUGUGGACUACUGCACCCCUGAGGAGUCAAACUAUUCGGAAUAAAGGAUUGGUGUUGCCCAAAGGGUACUGGAGGAAUAUUCACUUUUAUCCAGCCUUGGCCAAAUGACCUUGUAAAAGCUUCAAGAAAGCUCUCUUUUAUCACAGCGUUUGUUUAUUUUUUUCCUUACUCUGACUUCAACUUCACACCCACUACACGAGCAAUCUCCAGAGACUGGUUUCUAGCUGUCAUUAUUCACGCAUAUUUGAAGCAGCUGAUUAUGAAAGCCCUAUUUAAUUUUUAAUAAGUGAAUGUGUCAUUUUUUUCAUAAAUUGUUUUGACUCUUCCAGAAUGCAAUUAUCUCAGUUAUUGGCAUCUCGGAAAAAAAGAAGACGUUAGUGCCUACAGAAGCUGCAGGAAUAUCAAUGUGUACUUUUUCUGUUCUAUACCCAGGCAAAAAUUUUCCAGUGACUUGAACUGAAGUAGCUGAUGAUUUUAGGGAGGAGGGGAGUAAAUGAAUAUUGUUUUUAUUCAUGUUGUUGUUUAUCAGCUAUUACAUCUAACAGUAAAGGCUCAAGAAGCAAGUGUAUAUAUUAUAGAUAGAAUCUUUCAAAUGUUUUUAAAAAGGUAUAACAUCCAUGAGAGAAAUAAAACUGAAUAAAUUUCAAUGUUAUUUCAUCUUUCCCCUAUCUUCUGUGAUGUGAUAGACCAGUUUUUCCUUUUGUCAGUUUUACCUUGGUAACUUCCGUUACAUGAGUGAGGAAUACUAUCGCAAGCUUAGCUUUAGUUUCUUACUUUUCUUUUUCCCUGUAGUCUCGUGGAAUUGAAUUUUAUAUCCCUAUUUCUGCAAGGAACAUGUUAAUGCUUUCCAAGAGUCCAGUGCACAACCUAAAUAUGUCUAAUGAAAAAGGAAGAUCUGUAGCACAUGGUACAUAAACCAUGUAGAUAAAACAAAUCUGCUGCAUUUACAAGUAUACUUUAUGCAAAGUUAAAGGUUUCCUGAGUAGUUUUUUCAAUCCACAGAUGUGCCAUGAUGUUUUUCCAACACUGUUACAAUAUGACAAUUCCAUAAUGAAUGAUGUUAAGUUUUCUUCUGAAGCAUGGAUAUUGCUAUGUUUGCUUUCCCUCUGGGGCUCUCUAUAAUUGCCGUUAGGUAUGUCUGGCUGAGAGAUUUACUCUUACCUCUUACAAGUUAGUAGCUAGCUGGUGUUGAUUGGAAAUACCAGAGUUUUUGACAAUGCUCUGUGUUUUACCCCUUUUUUUUUUUUUUAACAUCUGACAAUGGGAACUCAGGAAAAAUUGUGCAUACCUACAGAAUGGCACUGUAUUACCAGUAGUGCUUUACUGUGC